rnacentral:lncRNA from 1 species
GCUGCGGGCCGCCCGCCCGGACGCAAGGCACAGGGGGACGCCCCGCCGAGCCGCUGCCCACUGCACCGAGUUUUUCGGAGGCUGGGAGAGGAAAUGCCACUUGGAUUUUAAAACCGUCACCGAUACGCUAUAGGUGAAUAUUUCGCUGGGAUUUUAAAGAGACGAGCUUCAGCCUGCUAAGCCGCGCUCACGCCGCCUCUCCGCCCUGGCCUCCCCGCGUCCGGCUUGGGGCCGGGUCCCUCCCGGGUCAAAGCUACGCCGGGUGCACUGCGGGCUGGGCAGCUCUCCCACUACGCCCAAAGCCCAGGCGGCCGGGACCGCCGUCCCAAAGUCACAAACCACACCCGUGAAGGACGCCCUCCGCAAGACAGAGAGGAGGCUGGGCCUGGGAAGGAACCUCCGGCCCUUCCUCACCAUGCAGCCAAGCCCUGCUUUCUCUACCUCCAGUCGUUUUCUGAGGACCGGCUUGGUGGGUGCUGAUGCCUGCCUGGAAGACCUCACACCCACAGUGUCUUAGAAGAUUCUGAAAGCAGUGUGAGACCAGAAUGACCAGCAAAGGAGAAAAGAACAAGGACACAUUGCAGCCAAAAUGGAGCUAGAAUCUUGCCUCUGUCCAUCCUUCACUGGAGUUAUCCUGGAUGGAGAAGGAACCAUAUCACCUGCAAAGCCUGGAAGGGGAGCCCUGCUGUGAGGUGAGCCAGUAAGUCUGUGAGUUCAGGAGGGAGCACACGCUUGUCUGUCCAUCUGUUCAUGAGCAGGCGCUCUUGAGUCUUCCUAAAUAUUGCCCAGAGCUCUCCAUCCAGAUACUGUCCUUUCCCUUCCUCUCCAUUGAUGGUCUCCAAGCCUUUCUUAGCUUUCAUCUUCCCCUAAGGAUUCCUUCUCCCAAAGCUCCAGCCCAUUCCAAUGUCAACUGCAUUCGUUGUUUUUGUUACUCUCAUUGUGUCAAAUGGGUUCUUUCCUAUGCAACUAGAUUGUAGGUUGCUCCAAGGUAAACACCGUGAUUUCUAGUUCCUUUGUUUCUACCACUGCAGGACUGUAGGAAGCCCAGUUGUAGGCAUCACUAGGACUCAGUAAUUACAUAAUUGCUCAGAUAAUUGAGAGAAUGAUUGAUUGAUUAGUGGUCAUUAAUGCCAUAAAAUGAAGGAAUUUCGCCCCUCACAUUUUCAAGAACCUAUGAGUUCGAAGAGACCUGAAAGAACAUUUUUAUGGGAGCCUACACCAGUGCUAUCACCUAAAGUGCGUGACCUUAGGGAAGUUGCUUCACCCCUUGUUUCUGUGCCUCCAAAAUACUGGUGUUAAUACAGUAAUUUCUGAUUCCUUCCACCUGUGCCCUGCUCAGCGAUCCAGUGUUCAAGCUGGUCAUCAGGAGAAAGCUACUUAUGAUUUCCUAACAAGCCACCACAGAACAUCACAUUCCCAAACAUGCUCUUCACCGUCCCUGCUGUCCCCACGUGCCUAGCCCUGGUGUGGGCAGGAAUGAGUGGGAUUGGGAUGUUUUCUCACAGGUCUUUCUCAGGUGAGGCCCCAGGCUGUGACCAGGCCCCUGCCCUGCAUGUGACUCAGGCCUAGCCCCUGCUGGGGCAGGAAUGCCACCCAGCACAGCAUCCUACUGGUGCCUGAAUAAAGAAUGGACUGGAGGUUCACCUGAAAGGGGCUGCCAGGUUUCUGCGGGGGCCAGCCAACGGCUCACAAUGACCCUGUGUUCGACUCAUCUUACGAUGAAAUUUUUCAGCUUGACGAACUUUUACUCAUCUUUCAAGGCUCGGCUCAAAUGUUAUUUCCCUGGGAAAACUGCGCUACUUUCAGCAAAAUGCAUUUCCUUUUGAUGGGCAUCUGUUUUUUUCUUUCUUUCUUUCUUUCUUUUUUUUUUUUUUUUUUUUUUUUUUGAGACAGGGUCUUGCUCUCUUGUCCAGGCUGGAGUGCAGUGGUGCAAUCUUGGCUCACUGAACCUUCACAAUGGGCAUCUGUUUCUGUUCUAUGGAGUGACCUAAAAGUCAAGAAUCAUGGAGAAAUUGGGAGCAAUGGCUCACGCCUGUAAAUCCCAGCACUUUGGGAGGCUGAGGCAGGCGGAUCACUUGAGGCCAGGAGUUCGAGACCAGCCUGGCCAACAUGGUGAAACCCCGUCUCUACUAAAAAUACAAAAAAAAAAAAAUCUGUUAGCUGAGCACUGUGGCGUGCGCCUGUUAUCCCAGCUACUCGGGAGGUUGAGGCACAAGAAUUGCUUGAAGCUGGGAGGGGGAGGUUGCGGUGAGCCGAGAUCAAGCCACUGCACUCCAGCCUUGGUGACAGAGUGAAACUGUGUCUCAAAAAUUUUAAAAAAAAAAAAAUCAUGGGGAGAAUUUAUUGUUAAACAGAAUAUUAGUUACAUUUUCAAAUAAUACAGUCAAUAUGUUUUUCUGUAACCUUUAGAUAUGUUUUCAGGUGAAGUACCUCUAAAUGUAAAGAAAUGGGUCCAAUUGUUAAUUUUUUUUAAAGGUUCAAGAAAUACACUACUUUCUCUGGCUUUUUCCUUACAACUCUUUUUUUUUUUUUUUUUUUUUUGAGAUGAAGUCUUGCUCUGUCACCCAGGCUGGAGUGCAGUGGCAUGAUCUCAGCCCACUGCAACCUCCACCUCCCGGGUUCAAGCGAUUUUCCUGCCUCAGCCUCCUGAGUAGCUGGGAUUACAGGCACACGUCACCACACCCGGCUAAUUUUUGUAUUUUUAGUAGAGACAGGAUUUUGCCAUGUUGGCCAGGCUUGUCUCAAACUCCUGACUUCAGGUCAUCCGCCUGCCUUAGCCUCUCAAAGUGCUGGGAUUAUAGGCUUGAGCCACUGUGCCCUGGCCUCUUGUACCUUUUUUACAUUAACAACUGGACUCGCUUUAAAUGUAGAGAUACUUCCUGAAAUGGUGUGUGAAGGUUGAAGAAAAACAUGAGCAUAUUAUUUGAAAAUGUGGCUAAAGUUCUGUUUUAAAGUAAGUUUAUGGUAAUAUUUCUAACUUUUCAGAUGCUCUGUAGUUCUUGGCACAUUUUUCACUAAUAUUUGGUGACAGGUCUGUCCCCGUUAAAAAUUGAGAAUUCCACAAAGCCUGGGAUAUGUUUUAUUCUUCUUUGACUCUUCACUCCCCAGCUAACCACCAUGCAGUGGGCAAUCAUAAGGGUUUAAUGAAUGAAUAAAUGAUCAAGUCAGGUAGGUUUUCCCCGAAUUCUUGUCUUUGGGGCUGAACCCAGGGUAGGUUUCCUGGCAUCAUUCCUGUGUUUUCUACUCUCCCUCCCUAAUCCUCUGAAAGUUUGAACAAAAAUAAGAUUAUGGGCCAGGUGUGGUGGCUCACGCCUGUAAUCCCAGCACUUUGGGAGGCUGAGGUGGGAGGAUGGCUUGAGCCCAGGGGUUUGAGACUAGCCUGGGCAACAUGGCGAAAUCCCGUCUCUACAAAAAAUAGAAAAAUUAUCUGGGUGUGGUGGUGCGCACCUGUAGUCCCAGCUACUCGGGAAGCUGAGGUGGGAGGAUCACCUGAGCCCGAGGAGGUCCAGGCUGCAGUGAACCAAGAUCACAUCACUACACUCCAGCCUGAGUGACAGAGUGAGACCCUGUCUCAAAAAAUAAAAAUAAAAAUA